rnacentral:rRNA from 1 species
AUUGAACGCUGGCGGCAGGCCUAACACAUGCAAGUCGAGCGGAUGAAGGGAGCUUGCUUCUGGAUUCAGCGGCGGACGGGUGAGUAAUGCCUAGGAAUCUGCCUGGUAGUGGGGGAUAACGUCCGGAAACGGGCGCUAAUACCGCAUACGUCCUGAGGGAGAAAGUGGGGGAUCUUCGGACCUCACGCUAUCAGAUGAGCCUAGGUCGGAUUAGCUAGUUGGUGGGGUAAAGGCCUACCAAGGCGACGAUCCGUAACUGGUCUGAGAGGAUGAUCAGUCACACUGGAACUGAGACACGGUCCAGACUACUACGGGAGGCAGCAGUGGGGAAUAUUGGACAAUGGGCGAAAGCCUGAUCCAGCCAUGCCGCGUGUGUGAAGAAGGUCUUCGGAUUGUAAAGCACUUUAAGUUGGGAGGAAGGGCAGUAAGUUAAUACCUUGCUGUUUUGACGUUACCAACAGAAUAAGCACCGGCUAACUUCGUG